rnacentral:tRNA from 1 species
UCGGCGACUUGCUUGGCCUCACCGAGCCGCGGGUUCUCCCCGCGUUGAUAUCUCUUGAUGGAUCGCACGCUGGUGAUCGUGUUUCCACUCGCCGAUC